rnacentral:rRNA from 1 species
CCUACGGGAGGCAGCAGUGGGGAAUAUUGCGCAAUGGGCGCAAGCCUGACGCAGCGACGCCGCGUGAGGGAUGAAGGUCUUCGGAUCGUAAACCUCUGUUAGCAGGGAAGAACGGUCACUGUGCUAAUCAGCAGUGAAUUGACGGUACCUGCAAAGGAAGCACCGGCUAACUCCGUGCCAGCAGCCGCGGUAAUACGGAGGGGGCGAGCGUUAACCGGAAUUACUGGGCGUAAAGCGGUCGUAGGCGGUAUGUCAAGUCUAGGGGGAAAUGUCCGCGCUCAACGUGGGAAAGGCUUUUGAAGCUGGCAAACGUGAGGGUGUGAGAGGAUAGUGGAAUUCCAGGUGUAGGAGUGAAAUCCGUAGAUAUCGGGAGGAACAUCAGUGGCGAAGGCGACUAUCUGGCACAUAACUGACGCUGAGGAGCGAAAGCGUGGGUAGCAAACAGGAUUAGAUACCCCUGUAGUC